AGAGUUUGAUCCUGGCUCAGGACGAACGCUGGCGGCGUGCUUAACACAUGCAAGUCGAACGAUGACGACCGAGCUUGCUCGGUCUGAUUAGUGGCGAACGGGUGAGUAACACGUGAGUAACCUGCCCCCCACUUCGGGAUAACUUCGAGAAAUCGUGGCUAAUACCGGAUAUGAACUUCCGCCGCAUGGUGGUUGUUGGAAAGUUUUUCGGUGGGGGAUGGACUCGCGGCCUAUCAGUUUGUUGGUGAGGUAAUGGCUCACCAAGACGAUGACGGGUAGCCGGCCUGAGAGGGCGACCGGCCACACUGGGACUGAGACACGGCCCAGACUCCUACGGGAGGCAGCAGUGGGGAAUAUUGCACAAUGGGCGAAAGCCUGAUGCAGCGACGCCGCGUGAGGGAUGACGGCCUUCGGGUUGUAAACCUCUUUCAGUAGGGAAGAAGCGAGAGUGACGGUACCUGCAGAAGAAGCGCCGGCUAACUACGUGCCAGCAGCCGCGGUAAUACGUAGGGCGCAAGCGUUGUCCGGAAUUAUUGGGCGUAAAGAGCUUGUAGGUGGCUUGUCGCGUCUGCCGUGAAAACCCGAGGCUCAACCUCGGGCGUGCGGUGGGUACGGGCAGGCUAGAGUGUGGUAGGGGAGACUGGAACUCCUGGUGUAGCGGUGAAAUGCGCAGAUAUCAGGAAGAACACCGAUGGCGAAGGCAGGUCUCUGGGCCAUUACUGACACUGAGAAGCGAAAGCAUGGGUAGCGAACAGGAUUAGAUACCCUGGUAGUCCAUGAAUCACUAGUGCGGCCGCCUGCAGGUCGACCAUAUGGGAGAGCUCCCAACGCG
rnacentral:rRNA from 1 species